GUAUCGGACAGAUGACAACGGCUACUGCACGUCAUACUGCAUGUGUUUUCUUUACCAAAUACGGGAUUAGGUAAACACAGCCAUAUAUUGUUAUACUACGUGUGACAAUUUUAUGUUAUCUGGCAUAUGUUUAUGGGAAUCAGAUAUGCAGCCGUCACAGCCUUCUGAUGAAGAACCUCAGCUUAUACAGAGGUCAGGCUUGAGCUAUGUGCUGAUUCAAAAGAUGCUAAUGACAGUGGAUAAUCCAUUCUGAGUUGUUCUAGGACCAUUCACCAACGUUUCAAAACACUGAUGGAACUGAAGGCAGUACAUGAACUGGUGUCUGGCCUGUGAUUUCAAGUAUAAUUGAUGUACCUUCUCCUGAUGUAUCUCCUUGAAUACAAUAUAUCUGCCAUGUGAAAGGAACAAGCUGCAAGAUAUACUGUGGAAGUGGGGGCCUAUGUAAAAAACAUUUUAAUUAAAGAAUAUAAGAAAUCUGACACUAAACUACUGAAAAGGUGCACAGGGGACAUUUUUGUGUGUAUAGACUCAUCAAGAUUCUGCGAAAGUUGAUUUAUUAAACAUAAAUAGUCAUAUUGUGUCUUCAAAGCUGAAAAGAUUAAGAUCUUAGGAAAACAUUAGGACUCAAGAAAAGUAAUGGGGCUAUGAAACUGUAGUGUUCACCAUUUAAAUUGUUUUUGUUUUUUUCACUACAAUUUGUGAAGAGGGUUCCAUCACAAGAUGUGACAUAUUGGUAAGAAUGAGAUGUAGUUUAUGAAAAAAAGUAUUUUGCUUUAAAUGUGCAGACU
rnacentral:lncRNA from 1 species